AGCACUGUACAUUCACUGCCCCCACCUACAAUCCCUGCCGGUACGAGACUCGAACCCGCAACCUUUGGGUUACGAGUCCGACUCUCUAACCAUUAGGCCACAACUUUGAUUUGUUAUGAUGUGAAUUUCAAAAUAAUUUCUCCACUUCGUUUGAGCAGAUGUUGGUGUUUUUGAAAGAGGUGUGUUGUUGAUAUCUUUAACACGAUGCUCUUGCAGAUAGACUCACGUAGCAGCGGGUUGGCGGCACGCUGCAGGAGCUGUUGUGUCUGGCUCAUGGCAAGUUCUGCACUGCAGAUCACACUGUCUGCAGCCCGUUCAACAUUUUCCAUCGUGUUGCUCACUGGGCCUUGGAUAACCAAGCAUUGGGAACAUCAGCAUGACCUUGGUGCGCACGCGGUCAGAGAGGCCCGUACCAAACCCCGC
rnacentral:lncRNA from 1 species